GAGCAACACCUGCGCGACAAUCCUCGUCUACAAAGGCUCCACCUACGCCGUCACCAAGCAGUGCAUGACCAAGGUCUAUUGCGACACCCUCAAAGCAUUCGACGCAACCUACAGCGGAGCCACGCUGAGCACCACGUGCUGCCAGGGCGACGGCUGCAACGUCAACGCCGCCCCUCCUCGACCGCCGGGCGCAGCUCACGUGACCCUGGCCCUGCUGGGCGUGGCCACCAGCGUCGUGGUCAGCAGGGCUCUGGUGUAGGUCGUGACGUCACAGCCGCACUCCACCCCCCCCCCCCCACGUGCCUGGGUUGAUCCAAUCACUUUUAAACUUCAAUUCGGUUGUCUCACGACGCUUCCACCAGUGGAGCUGUGCAACGCUGAAAUCGUCUUGAUUGUUGUGUUACGCUGCUAAAAAAAAUGCAACGUACGUAUGUCCAUAACAUAGAGACAAGUAGACUCGUUACACAGAGAGCCAUAGGCUCACCACAUAGAGACCCAUAGACUCAUCACACAGAGACCCAUGGACUCGUCACGCAGAUACCAAAGUGAGGAAUGAUAUUCCAUCAUUUAUAGAGAAACAGGCAGUGGAUCCCGUAAGGCAGAAGAUAAUGGAAAGAUCUUUAACCUGGAGUUGGAACAGGUCACGGAGGGUGUUCAGAGAGUUUGGAGAUGAUUGGGGGGGGGGUGAAAGGAAGUAAUCUACUAUUGGGUGGGGUGGUGUUUGGGGUAGCAGUUUUGCGUGAACCUGACCAAUGGCAUGUUCAAGGUACCGCUCGAUUUAUCGAAUGGGAUGCGUUUCUCUAACAUCUAAAAACAGACUCACGUGCGUGAAACUAAAUUUGUAAUUCGCAAUGGCUUUACGCGUUUGGUUUAAUAUAAAAAAUUCGGGGGUGUGUAUCGGACAGUUAUUCCAACUCAGUUUAACACGUAGGCUUCCGCGACCAAUAUUAUUCAUAAUAAAGGUUUUUGGGUUAGAUCGCGUUUAUUUAUAAAUGUGGCGUAACCCUCCACCACCCGACACGGCCAAUCAGCAAAAAAAAAGUGUCACGUUGACAAAAAACAAAUAAUUCCAACUCGAAAAGAAAAUUGCAAUACACCUUUGUCACAUUUGAGGGUGCAAAAAAAGUGUAAUAACAUUAUUGAAGAACGUGAAUAUUAAA